AGAGUUUGAUCCUGGCUCAGAACGAACGCUGGCGGCAGGCCUAACACAUGCAAGUCGAGCGCACCUUCGGGUGAGCGGCGGACGGGUUAGUAACGCGUGGGAACGUACCCUUCUCUAAGGAAUAGCCACUGGAAACGGUGAGUAAUACCUUAUACGCCCUUCGGGGGAAAGAUUUAUCGGAGAAGGAUCGGCCCGCGUUAGAUUAGAUAGUUGGUGGGGUAAUGGCCUACCAAGUCUACGAUCUAUAGCUGGUUUUAGAGGAUGAUCAGCAACACUGGGACUGAGACACGGCCCAGACUCCUACGGGAGGCAGCAGUGGGGAAUCUUAGACAAUGGGCGAAAGCCUGAUCUAGCCAUGCCGCGUGAGUGACGAAGGCCUUAGGGUCGUAAGUCUCUUUCGCCAGGGAUGAUAAUGACAGUACCUGGUAAAGAAACCCCGGCUAACUCCGUGCCAGCAGCCGCGGUAAUACGGAGGGGGUUAGCGUUGUUCGGAAUUACUGGGCGUAAAGCGUACGUAGGCGGAUUAGAAAGUAUGGGGGUGAAAUCCCAGGGCUCAACCCUGGAACUGCUUCAUAAACUCUUAGUCUAGAGUUCGAGAGAGGUGAGUGGAAUUCCGAGUGUAGAGGUGAAAUUCGUAGAUAUUCGGAGGAACACCAGUGGCGAAGGCGGCUCACUGGCUCGAUACUGACGCUGAGGUACGAAAGUGUGGGGAGCAAACAGGAUUAGAUACCCUGGUAGUCCACACCGUAAACGAUGAAUGCCAGUUGUCGGGUUGCAUGCAAUUCGGUGACACACCUAACGGAUUAAGCAUUCCGCCUGGGGAGUACGGUCGCAAGAUUAAAACUCAAAGGAAUUGACGGGGGCCC
rnacentral:rRNA from 1 species